GAGACCCGUACCCACAGUUGCCAGCGGCUGCUCCGGCAGGCUGGGUACACUAUGGGGACCGCCUCUGCUAAAGAGGAGGAAGGAGCGGGCGACGGUAGGUCAGUAUGCCCCGAAUUCUCCGGGCUACACGCGGGCUACAAUGGAUGGGACAAUGGGCUCCGACACCGAAAGGUGAAGGCAAUCUCUUAAACCCAUUCCUAGUUCGGAUUGAGGGCUGAAACUCGCCCUCAUGAAGCUGGAAUCCGUAGUAAUCGCGGAUCAACAUUCCGCGGUGAAUAU
rnacentral:rRNA from 1 species